rnacentral:rRNA from 1 species
AUUGAACGCUGGCGGCAGGCCUAACACAUGCAAGUCGAACGAGUGGCGGAAGGGUGAGUAAUGUCUGGGAAACUGCCUGAUGGAGGGGGAUAACUACUGGAAACGGUAGCUAAUACCGCAUACCAUCGGAGGUGCCCAGGUGGGAUUAGCUAGUAGGUGGGGUAACGGCUCACCUAGUCGACGAUCCCUAGCUGGGCGGAGAGGAUGACCAGCCACACUGGAACUGCGACACGGUCCAGAUUCCUACGGGAGGCAGCAGUGGGGAAUAUUGCACAAUGGGCGCAAGCCUGAUGCAGCCAUUCCGCGUGUAUGAAGAAGGCCUUCGGGUUGUAAAGUACUUUCAGCGGGGCGGCGUUACCCGCAGAAGAAGCACCGUCUAACUCCGUGCCUGCGGCCGCGGUAAUUC